GAGUUUGAUCCUGGCUCAGGACGAACGCUGGCGGCGCGCCUAAUGCAUGCAAGUCGAACGGUGAAGCCCCUUCGGGGGUGGAGCAGUGGCGAACGGCUGAGUAACGCGUAAGUAACCUACCCCUGAGUGGGGAAUAACUCCGGGAAACCGGAGCUAAUACCGCAUAAUCCGUUAUGUCGCAUGGCACAACGGCAAAGGUUUCGGCCGCUUGGGGAUGGGCUUGCGUUCUAUCAGGUAGUUGGUGAGGUAAGAGCUCACCAAGCCAAUGACGGAUAGCUGGUCUGAGAGGACGAUCAGCCAGAGGGGGACUGCGACACGGCCCCCACUCCUACGGGAGGCAGCAGCAGGGAAUCUUGCGCAAUGGGCGAAAGCCUGACGCAGCGACGCCGCGUGCGGGAAGAAGGCCUUCGGGUUGUAAACCGCUUUUCUGAGGGAAGAGAAAGGACGGUACCUCAGGAAUAAGCCUCGGCUAACUACGUGCCAGCAGCCGCGGUGAUACGUAGGGGGCAAGCGUUACCCGGAUUUACUGGGCGUAAAGAGCGCGUAGGCGGCUGAGUAAGUCUCCUGUGAAAUCUUCCGGCUUAACUGGAAGGGGUCAGGGGAUACUGCUCGGCUUGAGGGCAGAAGAGGAAGACGGAAUUCCCGGUGUAGCGGUGAUAUGCGUAGAUAUCGGGAGGAACACCAGAGGCGAAGGCGGUCUUUUGGGCUGUGCCUGACGCUGAUGUACGAAAGCGUGGGUAGCAAACCGGAUUAGAUACCCUGGUAGUC
rnacentral:rRNA from 1 species